UCAAAGAUUAAGCCAUGCAUGUCUAAGUAUAAGCAACUAUACGGUGAAACUGCGAAUGGCUCAUUAAAUCAGUUAUCGUUUAUUUGAUAGUACCCUACUACAUGGAUAACCGUGGUAAUUCUAGAGCUAAUACAUGCUAAAAACCCCGACUUCGGAAGGGGUGUAUUUAUUAGAUAAAAAACCAAUGCCCUUCGGGGCUCCUUGGUGAAUCAUAAUAACUCAACGAAUCGCAUGGCCUUGCGCCGGCGAUGGUUCAUUCAAAUUUCUGCCCUAUCAACUUUCGAUGGUAGGAUAGUGGCCUACCAUGGUUUCAACGGGUAACGGGGAAUUAGGGUUCGACUCCGGAGAGGGAGCCUGAGAAACGGCUACCACAUCCAAGGAAGGCAGCAGGCGCGCAAAUUACCCAAUCCCGACACGGGGAGGUAGUGACAAUAAAUACUGAUCCAGGGCUCUUUCGGGUCUUGGAAUUGGAAUGAGUACAAUUUAAAUCCCUUAACGAGGAACAAUUGGAGGGCA
rnacentral:rRNA from 1 species